UGCGAGAUAAAACCGAUCUUUUCCUGAACACCUUGUGAGUGAAACGUGAAAGAGACGUGAAAAUGAAGGUUCUACUCAUCGUCGCCAUUCUUAUCUCUGUGUCAGCUUGCCGGUCUGUCUCGGACGACAGUGACGUCACCAACAGUCGCAGCACACGCUGUGUAUUUGCAAUCUGCGCCGUCUACUGCCCUAGCGGAAUGAAGAAAGACAGUAACGGAUGCACUCUUUGUGCCUGUAACCCUAGCUUACUCGACCUGAUUAAAAACGGCAAAAUUGACUUGUCAAACUUACCGUCCCUAUAAAAUGUGCAUAUGGAAAGUUUGACUUAACAAUAACAGCCUCUAUGAAAUGUACAUACGGAAAGUUUGACUAAACAGACUCAAUGCCUCUAUGAAAUGUACAUACGGGAAAUUUGACGUAACAGACAAAACGCUUCUAUAAAAUGUGCAUACAGAAAGUUUGACUGAAAAAACAAAACGCUUCAAUAAAUUAAUGUGCAUACGGAAAAUUUGACUUAGAUCUAAUAGACAAAACGCCUCUAUGAAAUGAAA